CUACUCCUGCUGACGAAUUAUCUAAUUCUUUUCUCACCAGUCUCUUUCUGCCAACCCUGUCUAUGAAUUUCCAUGUUUUCUUAGUCGUGUUUUCUUUCGAAUUCAGAACCUUGCUACCUUUUAAUGGUUGACGUAAGGGUUUUCUCAUCUUUAAGAUUAGUUAAGACUGAUUUACAGUUCGAUGGAAGCGCCUUCUCAGUCAAAAUUGAACAUUGCCGCAGGGGUGAUGUUGGAUCAAUCAUAAGAUGUGAUGUUUACGGUCUCAAAUAGUGAUUCCGCAUUGAUUUAACAAUACGUAAAAAUAGAAGGGAUCUUAAUAACGAAGCCAUUAACGUUUGUGUGGAAGAGCUACUAAAAGAUGGGUGGAAUCCUGGAAUACAUUCAGGAGAAUUAAUUAUGGGGGAUUUAUUUUUUUGUUGCGAUUUUCUCGCUUUACGAUAUGGUGCUUUUUAGGGUUAUGUGUAAGAGAUUUGAAGAAGAAAGACGAUGGAGGAAUAUAAGAAGAAGGAGGUGAAACACUACAAGAUGAGAGGUGCCAAUGGAGGUUUCCUAUUCAAGCCAAUACCUGUGAGGUUUCAUCAUAAACAGCAAAUCUGGCCAGUGUGUUAAUCUUGAAUGGGAUUUGAAUCUGAGUUGGAGCUGACAGUACUGAAGUUGGUGAUGAAGAAAUGUUGUUGUUGGUUUGUAGCUACAUAAGAGAUAGUGAUGGUGUUGCUUCUUUUGGUUUGAACGAGGUAUGGAGUCUGGUGGUAUGUGCAGCAGAGAGACAUCCAAGCCCAAGGGAUAUGAAUUGCAGUUAGAACUUCUGAUGAUGUAGGAGAAGGGUAUCAAGUGACUCAGGGAAGAUUUCAAGAUGCUACUGUGACUGAUGGAGAUAAACAGGGAUAUGUGCAAUAAAUGCAGAUGUUUUCGUUUGAUCUUCUGCAGGUUUCCUGAAUAUGGAUGUAAAUAUAGUUUCGUUUCCUCAAUUAAUAAAAAGAAAAGGUGAUUGGUAAUCUAUUUCUUUUCUUUUCUUUUUUGCUUCUAUUGAUUGUUUUUUCUUCGUAGCAUCAGUGCUUAAUGAUUAUAUUACUUUUCAUAAGAAUUUAAUUUUGAUUAUAUGCUUGGCCAUAUGACGAAAAAAACAGUUAGGAGGGAGUUGGUAAAGCAUCAUUCAAGUUACUGUUGCACAGAUCCUUAAUUAUAUGUAGCUCUCUAUACAGUCCUCCUGAAGUGAAGCUGUUACCCUCCACCACAUCUUCAUCCUCGAAGUUUAAAUUAAAUGUUAUGUCUCAGCUCAAGCAAAUCAAUGCUUUCCGCUGGAUCAAGUGCUCUUCCGUCUAAAUUGCAGCUCCCAACCAUUAAAAAUGUAGAAAUCACAAAACAUAUAUAGUGUCCUUAUUCGAAUGCAAUCUAAACAUUCUUGGGUAUUUUUCUUAUGAACAUUUUUAAUUUUGGGUUUCUACACUCUGCUUUGUCGGAGGGGAACGUUUCCCAUAACUUUAUUUCUGAAGAUGAAUCCCUACAUGUUAUAAGAAGGUCAGUUCUCUAACCCUAAUUGAUUUGUUUGGUUCGAUUCUCCCUCACCUUUUUAUCUUCAUCACAGGAAUUAGUUGAACUACUGUUCUUUUGAAUCGUUGCCACACAUUGAAAUUAACGCCAGGGUUUUAGCAUGCAAAUUACUCGAGGAAGAUGUAGAAAGUACACUACAUCAACGACACUGACGACUAAGUUUACGCUAUCAGGAUUGAUACAGGAACUGAUAUACUGUGGGUUGAUUGCAAUUUAGGUUGCAGGAACUUAGCAAAGGUAUGUACAAGCUCACCCUGAAGAUUUUACACUAACUCAACUUAUUUUGCUUUAUUGCAUAUUUUUGAAAAAUUGUUUAGGUUAGUUUAGCUUUCGCACCAGGAAUAGUCAGAGAUGUCAAUAUUGGAUAAAUUUUAUUUCAGUCUCAAGAAACUGACAUCAAUUGAAAUUGGUGAGAGUUGUUCAUUAUAAGCUGUAGCGAAGCUGUCUGUUUAUAAUGAUCUUUGUUGGUAAAGACCAUGCUGGAAAGUGCACCAAGAUAUGUUAAACCUGGUGAUGGAGGUGCUACUGAUGAGCCUACGGAUCCAACAGUAGCAGCAGGCUGUAGAUGAUUGAACUUGCAGGCGAACCCAUAUUUACAAACCCCGGUUCGCGUAUGUAAUAUAGAUCUGGUGUUACUUCCUACUCCAGUUCACUUUUUAUCUCUUUCUUUCUCAUCUAUUAUGUGAUCUUCACUCACUAUUUUAUUGAUUUGUUAAUAGGUACGCAAACAAGAAUUCUCAACCAAGUAUGAAUUUGAUUUCUCUCUAUCCUCUUUGCUUUCGAUAUAUAUAUUUGGGUUAUUAGAAGUACACUACAGUAUCAAUAGGCCCUUAACAAUUAUAGAAGUUAUGUACUUAUCAUUACUUAGCUGAGGUCACAGGAGUCAUUUUAAAUACAUGCUCUGGCCAAAUUUCAAGGUGUGCUGAAGAUGUAUAUCUCUGAUUUGCUGCAUACAGUUCAGUUGGUUUGCAAUUUGGAUUAUUUCCAUCUUUUAGUUUCAUGUAUUAUUAUGUCAGAGUAUUGAGUAUGACUUAGAUUGGAUAACUUAUCAUGUCGACACCAAGAUGAGAUAUUUUAAUCAGGUUGCGGCUCAGUGGGACACUAAGAUGAGAUAUUUGAAUCUGCAAACAUCAAUGAAGAUCUAUGAUCUAAAAUUGUGUUAGUACAACUGGUAACACAAUUGAAGUGUUUACUAUUGGAAUUUUGGUUUGGUUUAUAAGCAUUUUUAAUUAGUUUUAAAAUCCACAAGCAGAUGUUAUUUGGUUUCAUUUAGGCUCUAGCUAUUACUCUUUGCGCGGCUAUGUUUUGUUUGUAAAAGCAGAAAACGACAAUUCUACAAUGCAAGGGGUUCAGGGUAAGAUUUUAAAACAAUGAAAUAAAUAAAGAUGCAAUUUUUGUCUCUUUGCCAACAGUGGAAGAAGAAACAUCUCUAUUGCUAAGUUGAGUUUUCGUAUUUCCUUGCUUUAAUUUUAACAAUAUUUAUUAAGAUUUUUUUUAUUCUCUUUGCUUCAGCAGCUGAAUAAGCUUCUGCUAGAAGAGACAUGUAAUUAAAGAGAAGAUCGGAGCUCUUCCAAUGAGGUAAAGAAGGCCUUUGAAUUCCAGUCAGGUGCUUGUAGUGUUCUACAAUACAAGAGGAAAUUAAGAAGAGAUCUGGAGAAGAAGAUGUUAAGAAGAAGCUAAAGAAGAGAUAAAGAGAGUUGUAUUCCGAGAGAAAAGAAAUGGAGUUUCAGAAAAGAUAAUAAUUCACUGAUUGCAUAAAAAGAAUCCAAUGGAGAAACAAGUACUAAUACUACUAGUCGCACGUGCUAACAGUGUGACUUUGACUAAGGCAUCCCCAUUAACAGAUAAGGGCACUUCUAGAACAGAACUACAAGCAAAAAGAAUACUCUCUCAAUUUGGUCCAUGACAAAUACCCCUCAUUGCAAAUGAUUCUUUUCCUCAAGAAUCGCAUCAGGAAACUGUUGUUGUAUGGCUUCUUUGUCUUCCCAAGUUGCUUCCUCAGCCGUGGAGUGAGUCCAGUGAACUAGGAUCUGAUCUACUAGCUGCUGGUGCUUUUUGAUCACCCUUGUAGACAGAACCUGCAGUGGUGCAAUCUUCAUACAUCCUUGAGAGUUUAGAGCUGGUUAUAACACUAUUUUGGGAAGUAACCCUGCACCAAUCUUUGGCUUAAGUUGAGAAACAUGGAAUACUGGGUGUAUUCUGAAAGCUGCAAUUUGUAUGCCACUUUGCCCAGCCUUGCCAAAACUUGGUAUGGACCAAAAAAUUUGGCAGAUAACUUUAAACUCCUCCUCAAUUGAACUGAGCUUUGCCUGUAGGGUUGAAGUCUUAAGUAAACCCAAUCUCCCACCUUGAAUUCUCUCUCAGACCUUUUCUUGUUAGCCUGCUGUUUGAUUCUGUGUUAUGCUUCCUCCAAGGUGGACUUAAGAAUGAUCCCCAUGGCCUGUCUCCUUUGUAAGUACUCUUCAACAGAGUCAUUAGUGGAAGGAGGAUGAGAGAAAAGACCAAACUGCUGAGGUUAGUAUCCAUACAGGGCCUGGAAGGGUGUAAUCUUUAAGCUAGAAUGGUAGGUAGAGUUGAACCCACCAUUCUGCCAAGGAUAACCAACUCAUCCACUUGGUUGGCCUGUAACUAGUCAUACACCUUAAAUAGGAUUCAAGGCAAGCAUUCACCCUCUCAGUUUGGCCAUCAGUCUGAGGAUGAUAUGCUGUAUUCAUGUGUAGAGCAGUGCCCAUCCUAGUGAAUAACUCUUGGCAGAAAUGACUACGAAAAAUGCUAUCCCUAUCUGAAAUGAUGGUAGCAGGAAGACCAUGUAAUUUAAAAAUGUUGUCCAAAAAUACCUUUGCUACAGAGGAGGCAGUGAAAGGAUGGCUUAGGGGCAUAAAAUGGCUGUAUUUGGUGAAUCUGUCCACUAUACCAUAAUGACUUCUCUGCCAUCUGACUUUGGAAGUCCAGUGAUGAAAUCCAUAGAUAUAUG